UGAUAUCUUUUCCCCUUUACAUUCUUGCUAUCUAUUGUUGCUUCGGCUAUUGCAUUUCAUACUAGGGUUGCAUUCACUUUAGAGAAUCUAGUAAACCCUAGGAUUAAGUGUUUGUAUCUUUCAAGAAAAGAAAAAGAAAAAGUAAAAUUUGUUAGUUGCCCUAUUCACCCUCCCCCCCUCUAGUCGACCAUACCGAUCUUUCAAUUGGUAUCAGAAGCUCAUCUCUUAAUUAGGGCUUUACCACUCUUAAGAGUAUGGCCGGCGAUGAUAGGGAACCCACCAUGAAACCCCAAGAAACCGAGGUGAUAGA
rnacentral:lncRNA from 1 species